rnacentral:misc_RNA from 1 species
GCUUUUCUUUGUUUGGUAUACCAUAUUUCAUUGAAAAUGUCUUGACAGAUUAUUUUUAAUUACAGAUCUUCCUUAUUUUUCACAGCAAAAAACCCCUUCUAGAUCAGUGGAUAAUAAUUGAGAUGAUCUGUAUAGCACGUUAAUUUCUGUAGUUACCAAUACAUGCUUCUUUUGCUCGGUGAAUUUUGUCUUGUGAUUGAAGUGACUCAUUUUAGUCAUUGUAAGUGUAAUCAAUAUACUGUAGAUUGAUUGCAUCAUUCAAGUAAUUUAAUUUGUUGAUAAUAUCUAUCAUCAUCAUUUGAUUGAUUGUUUAAUUCCGAUAAUUUCAUUUGUUGAUGAUAUUUGUCAUCAUUAUUUGAUUGAUUGAUUUCAUCAUGCAUUGGGAAGACUACUGAACUAUGAGAAAGUCCAGUUAAUAAUUUCUGUGAAACAUAUAUUGAUAUGUGUAUUCUAAAUGCAACUGUAAAAUACACUAUUAAAAGUU